CCUAAAGCAGCAAGCCGUGCAGUCCGUGAGCCAUGCUCCUCUGUCAGCCAUGCACACAGCAGAUGCCGUGCCCACCCCGUCACCCAGGGACCCGACCACGUGGUCUGCUGCAGUAGUUGUCUGUGUCCCCCUGACCCCAGCAUCGCACAGUGGAGAAGGUCCAAUCCUCGAAGCCACCGGGAUCCCUGAAAGAACAGAGGAGAAGACUUGGAAGGAGGGAACAGGGAGCUGACCGAUUUGCCCGGAAACGUUGUUUUCUUGCUGUAGUGGCCACGAAAGCGUAGCCAUUGGGGAGGGUGCCCUGAGGGGUAUGCACAUGCUGUCCCCUGCCCCUGGGAGCUCACAGGAUUAGGGGUUGUGUCAAUGUGCUGCAGUGGAAAAAGCAAAUGUGCAGAGAGUACAGGCCUGGGAGCAGACAGAUCUAGGUUUAUUGUUACUUUCUCAGGCACUUACUGGCUCUGUGACCUGUCUCCUCCUUUGUAAAAGGAAGUUACAAAGUCUCCUCUGCACGGUUCUUCCAAGGAUCAGAGAAACUACACCUAAAGUAUGGUGCUUAGCACAUUGAAGCACCUGAACAGAGCACAUAAUGAGUAGCUUCCAGCUGCCGAGGUCAGCCAGCGCCACGGCAGUGCAGGAGAGUGUCGGUGUCUACUUCUGUAUCUUUUCCUUAAAAAGGCCCCUGUUGCAAAGAGAGCUCAGAAGGAAUGGGCGGGUGUACGUACGAGUCCAUGCUGCGGGGAGCGCCGACAAGGGACAUCAUGCCACUGGGGCAAAACAGUUUUAGUUCCAAGCUGCCACGUCGUGGAUGAGUGAUGGAGACUGUCACUGCCACAUGCUCCAGGGUCUUCAGUCCCGACAUCUCCAGGUCCAUCCUGCUGACUGUAGGAAGUCAGUCUGGGCAGCUGGGAAACCAGCCCCAUAAACACUUACGCCCUCACUUCAUGCCAACAUACACAAAGGUACAUACCACUGAAACCACACACAAAUACCUAUGGCAACCCUAACCGGGACCUAGUGCACACUGGGAAAUACAAUGCAGUUGCUGCUUUCAAGGAGUUCACAAUCUAGUUAGAGUCUAGUUGGGAAGACAACACAUACCUGAGACACAAUAUAUGAUCCAAACAGGGCAACUUUACUCAUUCAUUCAUCCAAAAAAUAAUUUCCUGAGUAUCUCCUACAUUUCAGGCACUGUACUAGAUGCUGGGAAUAUAAAGACUAGUAGACAUGGUCUCUGCCUUCUGCCUGCAGGUGGGAAAUGACAUGGUAUGAGGUAUACAUAACUGAGACUAGAACAGAGAUUGAGCACCCAGCAGUGAGACACACUCUGAAGAAGAAAACAAAUAGACUGGUAGAGAGGGUUGGUAGAAGGUAUUCUAGAUGGGGAAACGGCAUGUGCAAAGGCAGAGGUGGAAAUGAACAAGUUUCAUAUUGAAGGCAAUACAGAAUUUUUUUAAAAACUACUGAAGUGAACAAACUUCAGGGAAAUUAUGCUGAAUGAAAAAAGUCAACAUCAAAAGAAUAUAUAGUACAAGACUUCACUUAGUAAUAUUCAUGAAUAAUGUAACUGUAGAGAUGGAGAACAGAUGAGUGGUUGCCAGGCAUUAGGGGUAGGGCAGAGGGGAUGAGUGUGGCCAUAAAGGGGUGACACAAAGGAGUUUUGUGGGGAGGGUGUGGUUCCAGAUCUUGAUCUUGGUUGUGGCGGUGGUUAUGCAAGGCUACACAUGUGGUAAAACUGCACUCACAUAACCAUACACACACACACACACAAAUAUGAGUGCAUGUCUGAUGAAAUCUGAAUAAGCCUUAUGGAUUGUACCAAUGUCAUUUUCUUGGUUUUGAUAUUGUACUAUAAUUGUUUAAGACAUUAACAUUGGGAGAAGGACUUCUCAUUGGCACAGGACUUCUCUGAACAUUUCUUUGUAACCUCCUGUAAAUCUACAAUUAUUUCAAAAUAAAAAGUUAAAAAAAAACCCAAA